rnacentral:RNase_P_RNA from 1 species
UUGGUGACUGAUUACGUGGCUGCGCAAGCAGAGGAAAGUCCGGGCUUCAGUGUCAUCGUUGUUGCUAACGGCAACCCACCGCAAGGUGCGAGCUAGUGCCACAGAAACGAUACCUCCGGCGAAGCUCCAGAACGAAAGUAUCAGGAGCGGAGCCGGAAAGGGUGAAAUAGUGCGGUAAGAGCGCACUGGUUUGCUAGGUGACUAGCGAAUCGAGGUAAACCUAACGGGAAGCAAGGUGGGUUGGACUGUAGACACAUCAAAAGGUUGACACACCGUGUCUGUAGAACCCACCGCUUAGAUAGAUCACGUAAUAAACAAAACCCGGCUUAUCGGUCACCAGGGGU